AUUUUCUUCUUUCCCUCGUGUAUCCAAUCAGUAAACAUUUUGCUGAGGUCCCAAGUGUGAACUGAGCACUGAGGUAAAAUCAGCAAGAUUGGGUUUGAACUAAAGGUCACUUGUAGUGAUAGAGACAAACAAAUGCAUAAUCUCGAACUCAUCCAGCUAGUUAAGGGCAAAACAAACUGACUCCCAGGCGAGUGCUCUUUCCUGUUUAUCUCCUUACUUCCCUAAUUGAUCUAGUAAAUUCCACACAGAAGAAUUUCUUGUUCUGGCUCUCGAUGUGCACAGAACCAAUAGUCCUUUCUCUGAUAAGCUCCAUUUCCCAUUGUCCAUCAUCUACCUCCUCCCUGACCUGUACCCCAAUAUCAAUCUGUCAAGGAUGUAGCAGACAGGUGACCUGCAGAGUGGGUCAUCUGCCUGGGGUCCUGGUCAAACCUGCGGAGCUCUCAGAGUAAUAAGGGGUGUAAAAAUAUGAAUGCUCUGGAUGUCCGUGAUUUCCCUGUUUGCCCCCUCUGUCAUUGUGCUGCCCACAGAUUUCCCAUUAUUGCUGAUGACCCUAAUGUGGAGUAGGAGACCCUGUGGAGUCCAUCUCUUCCUCCUGCUCACUCUGAAUGCAUUUCAGAUAUUGCCGUGGAAACGUCAAUUCCCCAAGCCAAGAAGACCCUGUUUCCCAGAAGCUGCUUCUACAGACUCUAGAAUAUAGAUGAGCCUGGCCCAAUCACACACUAUAUCUUGACCCAGCGGAUUUGCAGCAUACCUGCAUUGGAGGUAAAUCGAUUGGUGCUGCUUAAUCCUGGCUACUACCAGGCAGCAGAGACUGCUACUCUGGCCUGCCCCAUCAUCUGCUUCACACUUCGGGGUGUCGCUCUAGGACCUGGUUCAGACAUGAGCCAAUUCAGUGCAUGUGUGAAGCUGGUCUCCAGGGAGAAGCAUUCUCUCUCUAGUGAACCCAACUAGGAGGGGGAAGCCAGACAGGGUCACGUCCCCCCAUCCCCUUGGUGGAACCAAGCCAGCAGUCAGCUUGGAAUGUCUGCGGAAGAGGACUCUGGCAGCCAAUCUAAUUGCACAACCCCGCAACUCCCCUGGGCCAUGAGUCACCCGCCUGCUGUGAACCCACAGCGCUUUGAUGCAGCCCUUCUCAGAUCCCUGGGCCUGCUGCUCUCAUGCCUGUCUAGCCCAUUUCCCUGUGAGUCCAGGCAGGCAGCAUUAAGUGCUUUUUGCUGUGUCCCUCUGUGCCUAGCACUGUGCCUGAUGCUUUGGAAGCCUUCACUAAUUGUCUGUCAGAUGAACAAACACAGAUAAAAUAUCAGUUGACAAUUAACCCACUUCAAAGGAUACGGAACUCUAUUUCUGGAAACUGUAUUGAAGUAAUUGGUUCACAGCUUAAAUUACUAAAAGUGCUUACUGGAUAAAUGAGUGACUUUCUUGGCACACUUUAUAACAAGUGACACAUCUUUGACCAGUCACCAGAAAUGUGAGUUUACCCCUCCAGUGUAUAUUGAGAGCCAUCUCUGCACCCACGAUUGUUUAGCACGUGGGAAAGGGGAAGACAGGAAAGGAAGACAUAAUAGAAAGGGAGACCUCAGCCUUGUCCUCAAGAACAUCUUAAUCCUAACGAAGAGGGGCAGAUUCAGAAAACUCUUUGCAGAAUCCUUCUGAUAUUUCAAGCUGGUCUCUCUGGGAGGCAUUUAUGAAAGAAGAGCCCAUUGUGGCUGUUAGUGGAUAUGCAAGGG
ensembl:lncRNA